rnacentral:rRNA from 1 species
UACGUAGGGGGCAAGCGUUGUCCGGAUUUAUUGGGCGUAAAGAGCGUGUAGGCGGCCAGAUAGGUCAGCUGUGAAAACUCGAGGCUCAACCUCGAGACGUCGGUUGAAACCAUCUGGCUAGAGUCCGGAAGAGGAGAGUGGAAUUCCCGGUGUAGCGGUGAAAUGCGCAGAUAUCGGGAAGAACACCCGUGGCGAAGGCGGCUCACUGGCCCGAUACUGACGCUGAGGUGCGAAAGCGUGGGGAGCAAACAGG